rnacentral:pre_miRNA from 1 species
ACAGGAAGAUGACCUAUGAAUUGACAGACAGUAUGGCUGAGUAUGUCUGUCAUUCUGUAGGCCAAUAUUCUGU